rnacentral:rRNA from 1 species
CCUACGGGUGGCAGCAGUGGGGAAUAUUGGACAAUGGGGGCAACCCUGAUCCAGCCAUGCCGCGUGUGUGAAGAAGGCCCUCGGGUUGUAAAGCACUUUCAGUGAGGAAGAACGCCUGGUGGUUAAUACCCAUCAGGAAAGACAUCACUCACAGAAGAAGCACCGGCUAACUCCGUGCCAGCAGCCGCGGUAAUACGGAGGGUGCGAGCGUUAAUCGGAAUUACUGGGCGUAAAGCGCGCGUAGGUGGCUUGAUAAGCCGGUUGUGAAAGCCCCGGGCUCAACCUGGGAGCGGCAUCCGGAACUGUCAAGCUAGAGUGCAGGAGAGGAAGGUAGAAUUCCCGGUGUAGCGGUGAAAUGCGUAGAGAUCGGGAGGAAUACCAGUGGCGAAGGCGGCCUUCUGGACUGACACUGACGCUGAGGUGCGAAAGCGUGGGUAGCAAACAGGAUUAGAUACCCGUGUAGUC